UACGUAGGGGGCAAGCGUUGUCCGGAAUCAUUGGGCGUAAAGAGCGCGUAGGCGGCCCUGUAAGUCCGCUGUGAAAGUCAAGGGCUCAACCCUUGAAUGCCGGUGGAUACUGCAGGGCUAGAGUCCGGAAGAGGCGAGUGGAAUCCUGGUGUAGCGGUGAAAUGCGCAGAUAUCAGGAGGAACACCGAUGGCGAAGGCAGCUCGCUGGGACGGUACUGACGCUGAGGCGCGAAGCGUGGGAGCAAACAGG
rnacentral:rRNA from 1 species